rnacentral:rRNA from 1 species
UGGCGAACGGGUGAGUAACACGUGGGUGAUCUGCCCUGCACUUUGGGAUAAGCCUGGGAAACUGGGUCUAAUACCAGAUAGGACCAUGCUUUGGAUGGUGUGGUGGAAAGUUUUUUCGGUGUGGGAUGAGCUUGCGGCCUAUCAGCCUGUUGGUGGGGUAAUGGCCUACCAAGGCGUCGACGGGUAGCCGGCCUGAGAGGGUGUACGGCCACAUUGGGACUGAGAUACGGCCCAG